AACCAGGACUAAACCAGGACUAAACCAGGUCUAAACCAGGUCUAAACCAGGACUAAACCAGGACUAAACAAGGUCUAAACCAGGACUAAACCAGGACUAAACCAGGACUAAACCAGGUCUAAACCAGGUCUAAACCAGGAGUAAACCAGGAGUAAACCAGGAGUAAACCAGGAGUAAACCAGGUCUAAACCAGAUCCAAACCAGGAGUAAACCAGGUCUAAACCAGGUCUAAACCAGGACUAAACCAGGACUAAACCAGGACUAAACCAGGUCUAAACCAGGUCUAAACCAGGUCUAAACCAGGACUAAACCAGGUCUAAACCAGGACUAAACCAGGACUAAACCAGGACUAAACCAAGACUAAACCAGAUCUAAACCAGGACUAAACCAGGACUAAACCAGGACUAAACCAGGAC
ensembl:lncRNA